AUACGUAGGGGGCAAGCGUUAUCCGGAAUCAUUGGGCGUAAAGAGUGCGUAGGUGGUUUCUUAAGCGUGGGGUUUAAGGCUACGGCUUAACCGUAGUUCGCCCCAUGAACUGGGAGACUUGAGUGCAGGAGGGGAAAGUGGAAUUCCUAGUGUAGCGGUGAAAUGCGUAGAUAUUAGGAGGAACACCAGUGGCGAAGGCGACUUUCUGGACUGUAACUGACACUGAGGCACGAAAGCGUGGGGAGCAAACAGGAUUAGAUACCCUGGUAGUCCACGCCGUAAACGAUGAGCACUAGGUGUCGGGGAGACAAUCCUCGGUGCCGCAGUUAACGCAUUAAGUGCUCCGCCUGGGGAGUACGUUCGCAAGAAUAAAACUCAAAUGAAUUGACGGGG
rnacentral:rRNA from 1 species